UACGAAGGGGGCUAGCGUUGCUCGGAAUUACUGGGCGUAAAGGGAGCGUAGGCGGACAUUUAAGUCAGGGGUGAAAUCCCGGGGCUCAACCUCGGAAUUGCCUUUGAUACUGGGUGUCUUGAGUGUGAGAGAGGUAUGUGGAACUCCGAGUGUAGAGGUGAAAUUCGUAGAUAUUCGGAAGAACACCAGUGGCGAAGGCGACAUACUGGCUCAUUACUGACGCUGAGGCUCGAAAGCGUGGGGAGCAAA
rnacentral:rRNA from 1 species